rnacentral:rRNA from 1 species
UACGUAGGGUGCGAGCGUUGUCCGGAAUUACUGGGCGUAAAGAGCUCGUAGGUGGUUUGUCGCGUUGUUCGAUGAAACCGGAGGCUCACCUCUGCGUGCGGGCGAUACGGGCAGACUUGAGUACUGCAGGGGAGACUGGAAUUCCUGGUGUAGCGGUGGAAUGCGCAGAUAUCAGGAGGAACACCGGUGGCGAAGGCGGGUCUCUGGGCAGUAACUGACGCUGAGGAGCGAAAGCGUGGGGAGCGAACAGG